CCUGGUUGAUCCUGCCAGUAGUCAUAUGCUUGUCUCAAAGAUUAAGCCAUGCAUGUGUAAGCACACACUGUUUUAAAAGUGAAGCCGCGAAUGGCUCAUUACAACAGCCACAGUUUAUUAGAACUUACAUACAUGGAUAACUGUGGUAAUUCUAGAGCUAAUACACGCACAAAAACUUCAACUAUACAAUGGUUGAAGUGCUUUUAUUAGAACAAAAACCGAACGGCGUUCGACUUGUGUUGAACGUCGAAACUCUUUGGUGAAUCUGAAUAACUAUUUCUGAUCGCAUGGUCUAGCACCGGCGACAUCACUUUCAAGUGUCUGCCUUAUCAACCUUCGAUGGUAGUCUAUGCGACUACCAUGGUGAUAACGGGUAACGGAGAAUCAGGGUUCGACUCCGGAGAGGGAGCCUGAGAAACGGCUACCACAUCCAAGGAAGGCAGCAGGCGCGCAAAUUACCCACUCCCAGCUUGGGGAGGUAGUGACGAAAAAUAACGAGACGAUUCUCGUUUGAGAAACGUUAUCGAAAUGAGUACGCUUUACACACGCUAACGAGUAGCAAUUGGAGGGCAAGUCUGGUGCCAGCAGCCGCGGUAAUUCCAGCUCCAAUAGCGUAUAUUAAAGUUGCUGCGGUUAAAACGCUCGUAGUUGAAUUGUGGUCUUAGACAACAGUCCCCCUAUAUAGGUGUGGCACGGUUGCUCGAGAUCUUCAUUCGUGGUUGCUGUUGUUGCUCUUCAUUGAGUGUCAAUGGUGCCUCGAGAUUUUACUUUGAAAAAAUUAGAGUGCUCAAAGCAGGUUGUGAUGCCUGAAUAAUGGUGCAUGGAAUAAUAGAAUACGAUCUCGGUUCUAUUUUGUUGGUUUUCGAACCGGAGAUAAUGAUUGAAAGGAACAGACGGGGGCAUUCGUAUUGCUGCGUUAGAGGUGAAAUUCUUGGAUCGCAGCAAGAUGAACAAUUGCGAAAGCAUUUGCCAAGAAUGUUUUCAUUAAUCAAGAACGAAAGUUAGAGGUUCGAAGGCGAUCAGAUACCGCCCUAGUUCUAACGGUAAACUAUGCCAACCAGCGAUUCGCCGAAGUUCAUUUAAGACUCGGCGAGCAGCUUCCGGGAAACCAAAGUGUUUCGGUUCCGGGGGAAGUAUGGUUGCAAAGCUGAAACUUAAAGGAAUUGACGGAAGGGCACCACCAGGAGUGGAGCCUGCGGCUUAAUUUGACCCAACACGGGAAAACUCACCCGGCCCGGACACUGAAAGGAUUGACAGAUUGACAGCUCUUUCUUGAUUCAGUGGGUAGUGGUGCAUGGCCGUUCUUAGUUGGUGGAGCGAUUUGUCUGGUUAAUUCCGAUAACGAACGAGACUCUACCCUAUUAAAUAGUGACAGUAUUGCAUAUUCUGUGCUGAUCACUUCUUAGAGGGACUGGCAAAUUGAAAGCUGCACGAAAAAGAGCAAUAACAGGUCUGUGAUGCCCUUCGAUGUCCGGGGCUGCACGCGCGCUACAAUGAAAGCGUCAACGUGAGUUACGUCCUUACCUGAAAAGGUUUGGCAAUCGAUUGAAACGUUUUCUUGAAUGGAAUAGGGAAUUGCAAUUGUUUCCCUUGAACGAGGAAUUCCCAGUAAGCGUGAGUCAUUAGCUCGCGUUGAUUACGUCCCUGCCCUUUGUACACACCGCCCGUCGCUACUACCGAUUGGAUGGUUUAGUGAGGCCCUCGGAUCGGCCCCGCCGGGGUCGGCCCACGGCCCUGGCGGAGCGCUGAGAAGACGGUCGAACUUGACUAUCUAGAGGAAGUAAAAGUCGUAACAAGGUUUCCGUAGGUGAACCUGCGGAAG
rnacentral:rRNA from 1 species